GAGAAAGUCAUAGUGAUUAUGAAGCUGGUUUGGAACCAGUUUUAGGAGGUUUGAUUCCUUCCUCUCUCG
rfam:Macaca mulatta chromosome 10, whole genome shotgun sequence.